rnacentral:tRNA from 2 species
GCCCGCGUAGCUCAGCGGAUAGAGCGUCUGCCUCCGGAGCAGAAGGUCGUAGGUUCGAAUCCUGUCGCGGGCG